CUCUGGGGCACCGGGUGACGUGGUGCCUUUGAUGACACUAUUGCUGCAAUUUUCAGAAGAUCCAAAGGACCGCCGGGCCCCACGAAUAGAAACUCUGCUGGGCACAGCGGCAGGUGGCUCUUUCAUGCCUUGCUCAAAGAUUUUUCUGUGUGUCUGUGUGUCAAGGACCGCCGGAUUCCUGGCAUUUCCUGCUCCCUGGUUCCAGCUCAUCCCGGGCUGAGUUAUCUGAUGAACGCUUAAAGACAGGCCCUCCACCCUUCUCCGCAUUUAACCAGAUCAACAGAAUGAGUAUUUACAUCCUCACAGAAACAGACUCUUAUUUUAUGAAUAGACUCAGAUCACUGGUGACGCUUUAGGCCUGCUAUGAUCAUUUAUAGUAUGUUAGUAGUACAUUAGACUAGGCCUGAUUCUUGCCUGUGUAUCUUGGCUUAACCCUUUGCCUUUCUGUUUCUGACUGUGUUUGCACCUCACCUGCACUAUUGCUUGUGUUAUUGGAUUUCCCCUCUUGUCAAGGCCUCUGGAUACCGUUUGCUGUCGACUGUCUCAUGCCAGUUUUGGAUUACUCUUUUGUCUUGUCCUCUAUAUCUCUGUUUGCUAUUGUCAGAACCUUGCCUGUUUUAUGACAACGCCUUUAAAUAAAAGCUUUGUAGAUGGA